rnacentral:tRNA from 1 species
GACUUAAUUGGAUUGAGCCUUGGUAUGAAAAUCCGUCGACUUUAGAAAUCGUGAGGGUUCAAGUCCCUCUAUCCCC